rnacentral:rRNA from 1 species
CCUACGGGAGGCUGCAGUGAGGAAUAUUGGUCAAUGGGCGCGAGCCUGAACCAGCCAAGUAGCGUGAAGGAUGACUGCCCUACGGGUUGUACACUUAUUUUAUAAAGGAAUAAAGUGAGGCACGUGUGCCUUUUUGUAUGUACUUUAUGAAUAAGGAUAGGCUACCUCCGGGCCAGCAGCCGCGGUGAUACGGAGGAUCCGAGCGUUAUCAGGAUUUAUUGGGUUUAAAGGGAGCGUAGAUGGGUUGUUAAGUAAGUUGUGAAAGUUUGCGGCUCAACCGUAAAAUUGCAAUUGAUACUGGCAGUCUUGAGUGCAGUUGAGGUAAGCGGAAUUCGUGGUGUAGCGGUGAAAUGCUUAGAUAUCACGAAGAACUCCGAUUGCGAAGGCAGCUUACUAAACUGCCACUGACAUUGAUGCUCGAAAGUGUGGGUAUCAAACAGGAUUAGAUACCCUUGUAGUC